CUUAAAUAUAAUAACUUUAAAAAAAAAGGAUCCAAUAUUUAAGAUAGAAGUAACUUAAGAAAAUAACAACCUUUACCUCUAUCCUUUUUUAAAAAAAACUUACUUUCAUGCAAAUGAACAAUUUAAAUUUCAAGGCUGGAGAAAUUGGAACACAUUUUAUAUAUUAAUUAUGCUGAAUUUAAGUCUGUGUAUCGUAGUAAAAAAUUUCAAACUGUAUAAUCAUUUCAUGUCGUUUAUAACUUUAACAUUUUAUUGUCUUUUUAAAAGAUACAAUCAAGAAGUAUAUUUGAAAAUAUCACUGCAUACCAAGAGGAAAGCUUAUUUUCAAACAUAUCAGGGACAUUAAAAAAUAUACCAAUUCCUAGAAACACUAUUUUAGAUCUAUACUUUAAGAACCACUCCUAAAAUGAUUUAAAUAUCAGCAUAUUGUCGUAGUAUUCAGUUUCACAUAGGAAUUAUUGUUGUUCAGCUAUCAGUGUAAUGGUGUAUGAGAAAACUGUUUAGAGGUAAAGUUAUUUCAUGAUUUAAUGGAAAAUGAUUUUAUUCUAUAAUAACAAUUCUGAUUGCAGACAGUUUGAAUUUUUGAGGCUCUCCUAAUGGGCUAAUCAUAGAGAAAAAAUCAUUUUGAAGCUAUAAAACUGUGUUUCUGUGUCUGCCAUACUUAAAUUUUGACAAAAGAGAAAAUACAGAUUAAAAUACUGAAUACUCUCAGUUUUGCAAGUGUGACACAUUUUCUGCAUAUAAUACUACACAAUAGAAAAAUUUGGAUUAAAUCCUCAAAGAUAGUGAAAACACUGGCCUUUCCAAACUGUGUGUUUACUUGUCAUCUCCUUCUCUUUGGAGGUAAAUUCUUUCCUUAUGGCUGUUGACUUUCCCUAUCUUCUUCCCUCCCCAUCUUGCAACACACACUCACAUGGACAAAAAACAAAACAGAUUGAUUAUAUAGGUCCUCACUAUUGGUGAUUCUAAAGUGAUUGCUGUCACUAGAUAGGUUGUGGCUGAAGUGUUGGACAGUAAAACUUAAAGGAGCAUUUUUGGUUUGUUUUGGUUGACAACUUUCUUUAAACUAUGUCACUGAAACUGAUAUUAUUAGUGAUAUACAUUUAAAAUUGUAUUAAUAUUUAGUGUCUGUUAUAAAUCUUUUAUGUGUGGUUGUUUCUUACAGGUUUGCACGUUUUAAUUUUUGUUUACUUAAUUGUGCAAGGUGUAAAAUAGAUUCGCACAUUUUCAUUUUAGGAACACUUGUCUCCCUGAAUUGUUCUGCAGAGAUAACUAUUUUUAGGGGAAAUAGUUUUUUACAGCCACUAAAUUGUAUUUGUUAUUUUUGUACAUGCAUUGCUAGGGUGGUAAGAGCACUAAUCUUGUAGGGAAAAACUUUUGUUUUAUUUGAAUGUUUCCUAUACAUUAUUACUUACAAUUACCUAGGAACAGCAUCAUGAAAUACAAUAAAUAUAAGAACACUUAAAGUUUUAAUAAAAUUAUUUCUAUCAAACAGGACAAAACCAGAAAAAUACUACCAGAGCCAUAAAUGGAAGCGGUAGCAUACACACUGUGCAAGUGUUGUCGAGAAUGAGUAAGGCGGGAGCCCGCUCUCAUGGAGAUGGACAGUUUCUCUAUAUUAAAGGAGCUGUCUAAAACAUGAAAUGCAAUAUGGGCGCGUAUUGUAAAUUGUGCCAAGAUUACUCAAAUUGUAGUUACUGUGGAUCAAACUUUAAACUGUUUCAUCAUUUUUGUUUUAAGAGGGGAUACUG
rnacentral:lncRNA from 1 species